AGUGAACGCUGGCGGCAGGCCUAACACAUGCAAGUCGAACGGUAGCACAGAGGAGCUUGCUCCUUGGGUGACGAGUGGCGGACGGGUGAGGAAUACAUCGGGAUCUACCUUUCGUGGGGGAUAACGUAGGGAAACUUACGCUAAUACCGCAUACGCCCUACGGGGGAAAGCGGCGGACCGCAAGGCGUCGCGCGAUGAGAUGAACCGAUGUCCGAUUAGCUAGUUGGCGGGGUAAAGGCCCACCAAGGCGACGAUCAGUAGCUGGUCUGAGAGGACGAUCAGCCACACUGGGACUGAGACACGGCCCAGACUCCUACGGGAGGCAGCAGUGGGGAAUUUUGGACAAUGGGGGCAACCCUGAUCCAGCAAUGCCGCGUGAGUGAAGAAGGCCUUCGGGUUGUAAAGCUCUUUUGUCAGGGAAGAAACAGCAGCUCUAACACAGUCUGCGAAUGACGGUACCUGAAGAAUAAGCACCGGCUAACUACGUG
rnacentral:rRNA from 1 species